CAGCACCGAGGCGCUGGAGCCGCCCUCCUCGGGCGACAGCAGGGCGAGCAUCUGCGCGAACGCCUCGCGGUUCCAGGGGUCGCGGGUGGUGGCC
rnacentral:tRNA from 2 species